rnacentral:rRNA from 1 species
UACGGAGGGUGCAAGCGUUAUCCGGAUUCACUGGGUUUAAAGGGUGCGUAGGUGGGUCUGUAAGUCAGUGGUGAAAUCUCCGGGCUUAACCCGGAAACUGCCAUUGAUACUAUAGGUCUUGAAUUUUCUGGAGGUGAGCGGAAUAUGUCAUGUAGCGGUGAAAUGCUUAGAUAUGACAUAGAACACCAAUUGCGAAGGCAGCUUGCUACAGGAAUAUUGACACUGAGGCACGAAAGCGUGGGGAUCAAACAGG